AGUAGAGGUAGUGAAUAUCGUAAAAUGCUAAAAUAGAAAAAAAAGAAAAGAAAGAAACAACAACUAAAAAAAGUCGCCCAAAAAAGAAAUUGCCGCGCAAUUCGCUGCCGGCACCGGCACCGGCUCCGGCUCGUCUCCCUCCUUUCCAAACCUCACCAUCUUCCUCAAAUUUCUCAAUCCUGAAUAAACAAGCGUUGCGCGCAGAUCAGUUCCGAGCGGCAUCCGCCUCAGAUUGAGUAAGAAAUUGGCUGUGGAAAAGGUUCAUCAUGUUUGCAACUGCAGUCAGGUUUAUUGCUAAGAAACCAAAGCCUAAAAUGAAGCCAAUAGAACUCAAGACUCCUCCGGAGCAAACGCAGACAAUCACAAGGGUUAUAUUCGACGUCUUGAAGGAACACGGCCCUCUAACCAUUGCAGACACAUGGGAGCAUGUUAAGGGUGUUGGGUUGAGAGGACUCUCAAGCAAAAGGCACAUGAAAAUAGUGAUGAGAUGGAUGAGAGAGCGGCAGAAGCUGAGGUUGAUAUGCAACCAUGUUGGCCCUCACAAGCAAUUUUUAUACACUACAUGGUUCACAAAACCUGAUGUCAGCCCAACACGCCCUAGCACGAGGCCGGGAACCAACGACUCUUCAAGACCCAAGCCAUGAGCAUCUUACAUUAUCUGCAAUCUCGUUUUUGUGGAGUAGCUCAUGUUUUUAUGACUGAUUUUCAUAUAGGAAAACGUCAGACAAUAACUUCCAUCGAUCAUUUUCUUGAAUCACGAUCGUUCGCCUACUUGUCAUGAACUCUUAAAUUGUCGGGUGGGGCAAAAAAUAGGAGAGGCUGCGAACCCUUAGUAAUGUUGAAUAUGGGAUAAUUAUACUAUUCAUACAAAAUGUUUCAUCAUUGUUUUAUAUUGAUAUAAAAGGGUUUAAAGUUUGCAUAAA